UAGAGAAGCAGCUGAUAUGCAGCCUGAUGUCCCCAGGGGCAGAGCAACUGACUGGGGAUGCCUCAGGGCAGGGGCCAGGAGAAGCACCAUGCCAGGAAGGAAUCACCCAAGAAGGACAAAACAGAGCCGGACCCAGUAUCACUGUUGCCCAGGGCUGUAUGGGGCUGAAAUAAAAAUGGAGAACAAGGGUCAGAUGCUGAUUCUAAUUACACCACUGCAAUAGUAACUAGACUGAGUUACUAUGAGUGUACCAUCAAGCCUCUGGUGUAGUCCAGGUACAAAGCAGAUAUAUUUAUAAUUUGAAGAUAAAAAGCAACACCCAAAGCCUCUAACCUUCUGCUUAAAACUGAACAAUUUUCAUCUGUCAAACUCUUCUUGGAAUUCUUUGAAUACAAAAGUAGCCAUGAAGACAACACUUCAUAACCAUUCAGCUACAAAAUCCCCAAAGAUUCACAGAUGUCUCCCAGCCAUCACCCCCACACAUCAUUUUAAAAAAUGUAUAAAGUAUAGCCAAGUAUUUUGAUAUGACUGCAUCAACCUAGAUGAGAUAGUAUAAUAAUAAUAGGUCUUAUAUGGCACAUUUCAUCAAUAGGUCUCAAAGCACUUUACAGAGGAGAUUAAUCUAAUUAUCCCUAUUUAAUAGAUGGGGAAACUAAGGCACAGAGAAGGGAAGUGAUUAGCUCCAGGUUAUCCAGCAGCAUUGGGAAUCAAAUCAAUGCUUUUGGGUCCCAGUUUAGUUCUCUAUCCACUAUGCCACAUGCCUCAUUUCAUUAUUGGCUUAGUCUGGAUGGGGGGUAGCAUGAUAUAGCGUAAUUUUAGUAAGGUUUCUGAUACAGUCCCACAUGACACUCUCAGAAGCAAACUAGGGAAAUGUGGUCUAGAUGAAAUAACUAUAAGAUAGAUGCACCACUGGUUGAAAGACAGUAUUCAAAGAGUAGUGAUCAAUGCUUUCCUGUCAAACUGGGAGGGCACAUCUAGUGGGGUCCUACAGAGAGUCUGUCCUGGGUCCAGUACUAUCCAAUAUUUUCAUUACUGACUUGGGUAAUGGAGUGGAGAGUAUGCCUAUAACAUUUGCAGAUAACACCAAGCUGGGAGAGGUUGCGAGCAUUCUGGAGGACAGGAUUACAAUUCAAAACAACCUUGACAAAUUGGAGAAUUGGUCAGAAUACAACAAGAUGAAAUUUAAUGAAAUUUAAUAAAGACAAGUGCAAAAAUUUAAGCACAUUGCUUGUUGUCCUAUCCUCAGAGGUUAAGGCGAACAAUUUUUCUCCCUCUUCCUGGUAACAACCUUUUAUGUACUUGAAAACUGCUAUCAUGUCCCCUAUCAGUCUUCUGUUCUCCAGCCUAAACAAACCAAUUUUUUUUUCAAUAUUUCCUCAUAGGUCAUGUUUUCUAGACUUUUAAUCAUUUUUGUUGCUCCCCUCUGGACUUUCUCCAAUUUGUCCACAUCUUUCCUGAAAUGCGGUGCCCACAACUGGACACAAUACUCCAUUUGAGGCCUUAUCAGCAUGUAGUGGAGCAGAAGAAUUACUUCUCGUGUCUUGCUUACAAUACUCCUGCUAAUACAUCCCAGUAUGAUGUUUGCUCUUUUUGCAACAGUUUUACACUGUUUACUCAGAUUUAGCUUGUGAUCCACUUUCAGCAAUAUUCCUUUCUAGGCAGUCAUUCCCCAUUUUGUAUAUGUAAAACUGAGUGUUCCUUCCUAAAUGGAGUACUUUGCAUUUGUCCUUAUUGAAUUUCAUCCAGUUUACUUCAUAGCAUUUCUCCAGUUUGUCCAGAUCAUUUUGAAUUUAAAUCCUACCCUCCAAAGCACUUGCAAUCCCCCUCAGAGACCCCUGAGAGAACCCCCUCAAUAUGACCUUCCAGUUUGACUGUGAACCAUUGAUAACUACUUUCUGGGAACGGUUUUCCAACCUGUUAUGCCCCACCUUAUAGUAGUGCCAUCUAGGCUAUAUUUCCCUAGUUUGUUUAUGAGAAGGUCAUGCAAGACAGUAUCAAAAACCUUACUAAAGUCAAGAUAUACCACAUCUCCCACUUCCCCCUGUGUUGCUGUAUGAUUGAAAUAUGACCAUUUAUAUAAUUAAUUUUGCUACUGUUAGACAAUUCCAACAAAUCUUGUACAAAGUAUGCCAUGUAUGGUGUCAAUGGAAAAGUUAUGAUUUACUAGAUAAGAUUAUCCUUUUUAAAUCCAUGUAUCAUCACUAUAUCUGACGGUAUGAAUAUUGGCUAUGCAUAUAUAUUUUAAAUAUGUUGUUCCUAGGGUAACACCUACAAGGUAGUUUACAUCCAGCCUAGCCAGUGCACUCUGAAGAGACUAUUCAAGUUUAAUGGCCCAUUAAAGGAUACUUCACUCUAACAAUGGGCCAUAGGAGAAGGCUGUCUCAAUGGUGAGUCUUCCUAUGGACUCCCCUGUCAGAAUAUGGGUAAUGGCUGCCCCGUGAGUAAGGACGUGUGAUAUACUCAUGUGACCCUGGACUCUAUCUUGUGCCAGUAAUUUUCCACAAACUGUGUGGUGAGCUUUGUUCUGGGACAGUAAAAUUCCAAGCACCUGACAGAGGGUACAAAAGAUCCUUGAAUCAUCUCCAUGUUGCCUCUUUCCUGCUCUGAUUCUCUGAACUGUGGACUUACAACUAAAAGGAGCACAUUUGAACUAUGGACUGAGGACCUUCCAGUCUUUUGGAAGUUACCAGAGACUUUACAAGCCAGCAGUCUAUAACAUCACUGCUACAAACCUGAUAUAAGAACAUUGGAAUAUUUGUAUGGAUAUGAUCUGUUAACCAUUUUAACUUUCUUCUUCUUUUCUCUUAUAAAUAAACCUUUAGAUUUUA